rnacentral:rRNA from 1 species
GACGAACGCUGGCGGCGUGCUUAACACAUGCAAGUCGAACGGAAAGGCUCUGCUUGUGUGGUUCGCUCGAGUGGCGAACGGGUGAGUAACACGUGAGUAACCUGCCCUGGACGUUGGGAUAACUUCAGGAAACUGGGGCUAAUACCGGAUAGGAGCUCCUGCUGCAGGGUGGGGGUCGGAAAGUUUCGGCGGUGGGGGAUGUACUCGCGGCUUAUCAGCUUGUGGGUGGGGUAGUGGCGUUCCAAGGCUUUGGCGGGUAGCCGGCCUGGGAGGGUGACCGGACCCGUCAGGUCUGAGCUACGGCCCAGACUCCUCCCGGAGGCAGCGGUGGGGAGUAUUGCACUGCGGGCGGAAGCCUGCUGCAGCGCCGCCGCGUGCGGUAUGCCGGCCUUGGGGUUGUGAACCGCUUCCGCCUCUGACGAGGCGUGAGUGACGGUAAUGGGUAAAGAAGCCCCGGCUAACUACGUG